ensembl:lncRNA
GUUUGUACAGGCGAGGCGCGAGAGUGUGGUGACCGAGUCCGUCUGCCAGCUGUGUAAUCUCCACAGGGGAGUGAGAGAAUUAUAGACGUGGGUGUUUCCUUUACUCAUUUAUCAGAAUGCUGCUACAGGGGGAUGUUGAGGAAUAGAUUUACCCUGGUUGCCGAUCCAGUGCAGAGCUAUGAUGCUACCACGGCUUCUCCACUCUAACUCUUCACGGCCACUGCCUGGGUGGAGAGCGCUCACGAGGACCACAGCAAAUCCUGGAACUGCUACAUUCUCUCUCAUUGAUGGACCAGGGCACCUCUUUUUAGUAGACUGUCUAAGCUCAGAACAUGCAGUGAGCAGUUGGCGACAGAAGCACAGCACCCUCUUCCAGAUGGACAGAGCCAUAUGCUGCACGAGCCCCCACGGUGCCGAGCUUCCUUUGCUGUAGAAGGUAUUUUGUGUUUGAUUGUCCCUCACUGGCCGAUAUCUGCAUUAUUCCUGAACGAUGGUGUUAAUGGGUCUUUGGACAUCAGACUUUGUUAUCAUUUCUCCCAUACAUGACCUUUACAACAGUGCACUUUAACAAGUGCCCACUCUUUUGGUUAGUAUCCAUAAUCACUUCAUAGAAGAAACAGACUUCAGAAAUUUAAGUUUUUCUUCUAAAUUCCACUUUACAGCCUGUUAAAACUGUGAUGUAAUGGGCAUUUUAAAUCACUGAGACUACUUUAGGACUUAGGAAAAUAACUGGAAGUGAAGUUAGAUUUUUCUACACAUUGAGGAGAAUAUUGCUUUCAUAGUUUUCUAGGUGUGAACCAUACCUGAUGUUCCAGAUUCUUGAGAGGCUAUUUUUAGGAAAAUAAAGGAGAACCAUAGACAUAAUCUGUUUAGAACUUCCAAAGGAUUUUUCUAAAGCACCACACUAGAGGAUUAAAGAAUUUUGACAAGUGUAACGUGAGAAACAAUCACUGCUGUGGAUCUUAAAAGUAGUUGUAAGGGAAGACGUAAACUUUAAAAAAGUAGUUGAUGUUUGGUCCAGAAAGUCUCAGGCAGCUGAAAGACCUGCACUGAGCUGAAGUUAAUAACACGUGAGGAAAAGCGCACGUGAGCAGCCUCAACCCUGGUCCACUCCCCGCUCAGUGAGAGGGGAAUCCGAUUUUGGUUAAAUAGGAAACAAAGUAAAAGUUUUAGAUUAUAUUUUUUUAAAAGAAUAGCAAGGAAAGAAAUAAAAUAUGACAAACUUUUAAAAUUAAACUUCUUGCUUUAAGAUAAUUGUAGAUUCACAAAAGAUAUCAUACAGAGAGUCUAUAUAUGACAUAUGCACUUCUAGUAAUUCAAAUUUCUGGCAAAUAAUUAUCCAGAAUCCGUGUCAGAUGGCACUCAGAUAUUCAAAUCAAAUUCAAUAUCAAUGUUGUAUAUAAUAAAGACAAUGCUCUUUUAUGGCCUAUUAAAACUAGAAUCUAAUUAUGACUAUGAGAUACAGAUUUUAAAUAGAUUUCUUCUUUAAUUCUAUAGUGGAGAUCUAUUGUAGUAGGCCUACCUUUCCUUGGUAACAUCACCCUGAUUUCCUUUUGAGGAAUUCUUUCCUUCUGAGGCGUGUUCUAUUGUUGGGUUGUCAAUCAAAGUGUCCCCUCGACCUCCAGGGGUGGGCGGAAGACCCAAGCUGGCCCAGGCAGACUCUUUCGAACAGAAUGGCACCAGGAUAGGAAAUGCAGUUAGGAUCAGGCACCGCAAAAAUUGUCAGGCAACUCCUGCUGUCCAGACUCCCCAGAGUUUCCCGACUCCAGGUCCUCCUAAGGCCUGGCGUUUCAGCGGCACCUUUGGCUUGCUAAGCACCAGAAUAGCCUUCACGUCAAUUCCCUUUUAGCCUAAAUUAUACCAAGUUGUUCUCUGUGGAUUGCAACCAGAGACUAACGCUGAUAAAAAUCAGUCUGACUCUCCCUUUAAUAAUUAUUUUUUCCUAAUUGUACAAGUGAUAUGUCUCAGUGUGAAGAAUUUGAAAAUGCAUGAAGAGUAUAAGAAAGGAUAUAAAAAUGCUCCGUAAUUUCACCAGAGAUAGCCACUGUUACUUUCAUAUUUUCCCUUGUAUUUUUAUGUAUAAGCUGUGUCUGUAUGUUAUAGAAAAUUGAGAUUGUAGUUUAGUUUUCUAUUUUUAUUCUGGCAAAUUAAUUUAAAUCAUGAGAAUUUUCCAAAGAUUAUUUUCAAAUUUUUUUUACAUUUCAUUCUUUGAACGUAUUAAACUUAUUAAAAUACAUCUAAAAUACUUCUUGGAAAAUACUAACUCUUCAUAACUUUUUUCUUAAACGCAAUUUAUCUUUGCUAUGGGCUAAAUUAUGUCCCCCCGAAUCCAUAUGUUGAUGUCCUAACCCCCAGUACCACAGAAGGUGACUGUAUUUGGACACAGGGUCUUUAAAGAAGUGAUUAAGUCACAGUGAGGCCAUAGGAGUGCGACCCUAAUCCAGUCUGCCUGGUGUCUGCAGAAGAAGAGGAAAUUUGGACACAUAAAAAGGCAGCAGGGAUGCAUGUGCACAAAGGGAAGACCCUGAGGGCACAGCCAGAGAGUGGCCAUCUGCAAGCUCCUAAGGAGAGAGGCCUCAGGAGAAACAGUACUACUGACCCCAUGAUCUUGGACUCCUGGCCUCCAGAACUAUGGGAAAAUAAAUGUCUGUUGUUUAAG